CCCUUAGAUGUUCUGGGCAGCACGCGCGCUACAAUGGUCUUCGCAAACGGAUGCAUUCUCGAAGGAGAAUGCCAAUCUUGGAAUCUAUGCCUUGGUCGGGACAGUUGCUUGCAAUUUUUCGACUCGAACCAGGAAUUCCUUGUAAUCGUGAUUCAUCACAUCACGAUGAAUACGUCCCUGCCCUUUGUACACACCGCCCGUCGCUCCUACCGAUUGGAUGAUCCGGUGAGCUAUUCGGACCUUCGCUUCGUCGAUUUUCGGCUUUGUGAGGGAAAGUCUCGCGAACCUUAUCAUCUAGAGGAAGGAGAAGUCGUAACA
rnacentral:rRNA from 1 species